rnacentral:piRNA from 1 species
UAUGGACACUACACUGUCUAGUGAAGAA